GACAGAGGGUGCGAACGUUGUUCGGAAUUACUGGGCGUAAAGCGCGUGUAGGCGGCAGCGCAAGUCGGGCGUGAAAUCCCACGGCUCAACCGUGGAAGUGCACUCGAAACUGCGCAGCUAGAGUCCUGGAGAGGAAGGUGGAAUGCUUGGUGUAGAGGUGAAAUUCGUAGAUAUCAAAGCGGAACACCGGUGGCGAAGGCGGC
rnacentral:rRNA from 1 species